rnacentral:rRNA from 1 species
UACGUAGGGGGCAAGCGUUGUUCGGAAUUAUUGGGCGUAAAGGGCGUGUAGGCGGUUAGAUAAGUCUUCUGUGAAAUCUCGAGGCUCAACUUCGAGCUGUCGGUAGAAACUAUCUGGCUAGAGUCCGGAAGAGGAGAAUGGAAUUCCUGGUGUAGCGGUGAAAUGCGCAGAUAUCAGGAAGAACACCCGUGGCGAAGGCGGUUCUCUGGGACGGUACUGACGCUGAUACGCGAAAGCGUGGGGAGCGAACAGG